AUGGUUCCUACCAAUUUAACUCACCUGCAGUUCCAUCUGUUGCACUGGAGGAAUCUACCUGAGCUCUUGGUCCAAAAUACUUCAGGAAAGAAUCUGGGCAGAUUUAAUGAAAUGGUUACAGAUUCAGCAUAAGCACAUCACCGGUAAAAAAGUGUUAAGAAUAAUAAUAUACUAAUAAGUCCGUUGCCUGCCGCGAAUGUUCGGGGCAACAAACUGUUGAACAAUUUUUGCUUCUUUUCACACAGCCAACCCUCAGUGUGAACUACUUUGCUAAAUGCAUCCUGGAUGCCAUAAUGGUGAUUUAAUAACACCAGUAGCCUUUAUUAAUACAUUUUCAUUUUAAUUUACUUAGAAAAAUUAUACUUUCAUUGAGGUCAGAUGAUGUGGAACGAAAUUCAGGAAGUAAAAUAGGCAGUCAGCUAUAUAAAUUGAAGAUAACUUCAGGAAACUACUACCUGAGUAAUAUUUGUGUAAAUUAUACAGGUGACUAGCGGGCUGCUGGCAUGCCUACAAUUACAUAACAGGAUAUUUUGAAUGUCUCCCGGAGGUUCAGAUUGUUACAUUUCUAUAGACAACCAUCUGAACAGUCGAGAAUUGCCUGUCUACAGCUUCCACUUCAUUGCCAACUACAAGCCAAAACGAAUGAAAUAACAUUGCAAUUAAAACCCAGAAAAAUACUACCUUUAGCUAUAAGCUUUUUUUUUCUACUUCUUUAAUUUUUCUCAAUUCAGUUUACUUUUAUAGAGCACUACAGAGCACCGAGGUGCAAUUUCACCCUCUUAUCUCUUCUCCUCUCCUUACAGGUAGGUUCCUUUUGGUGACGUGGUUGGAAUUCACCGAUUUGGACUCAUUCCGUUAUGAGCGAACUCAACCGAGCAACUAUCUUGUUAGGGGACCCCAGCGGCCAAAGGGGCCAAAGCAGCCACUUGUGUCGCUCUUCAGGUGGGCUAUGAUCAGGGAAAGACAGGGAAGGAGACGCGAAAAAGCAGCGGGACGAGGAAGAAAUGAAUUUUAUGUUCACGGGAAUAAAUUCUGGACUGUUGAAGAACUCUGAAUUGGUCCAAAAUGAUGUCGGAGAAGAAAGAAAUUUGGUUGCGAGACUGUAGAGGGUUUUGUUUUGGAAGAACAGGCCAGGAAACAUGAUAAAUGGAAUCUCAGAAAGACAUUUACAUUUAUUAUGUCAUAAGAUUUUCUGGCAGUGAUGUAAUUAUGAAGGGCAAAUCUAUACUAGUAGUGUAGUGGGUAGAGCUGUUGCCUUUGGACACAAAGGUUGCAAGUUUAACCCCCAUCUCCGGCUGCAGUACCCUUGAGCAAGGUACUUACCCUCAAGUGCUCCAGUAAAAUUACCCAGCUGUAUAAAUGGGUAAAUAAUUGUAAGUACCUUAACACUGUGAGUCAUUUGUAGAAAAGCAUGAGCUAAAUGAAUCAAUGUAAGAAUGGCAGGAUGGUUCUGUCAUCACACCCACAUUUGUGCUGUUUGACCAAAAUUCAUUAAAAGAAAGAGCAGCAAUGGGUAAAAACAACAAGCUGCACUUGGUAAAAGCGUAAUGUCAGAUGUGACAUAAUAAUAGCCAUGUCUCUAACUGAGUCACCGCUGCUCAGUCGAACCUCAGACAUGCCCCGUACAGUGUAGAGCUCAGAGCAGGAAAAAUUAAGCUCCAUGGGAUGUGGAACUCUAAUGUCCUUUUUUAAACCCCAUCUACAUUGGUGUGUGGAAGUCACUGUACAUUCACAUCAAUACCGG
rnacentral:lncRNA from 1 species